rfam:TPA: Bos taurus chromosome 8, whole genome shotgun sequence.
UAGCUCAGCUGGUAAAGAAUCUGCCUGCAAUGCAGGAGACCCAGGUUCGAUUCCUGG